ACCUGACAAGAUAUAUACUAGGCUGUCUCAGUUUACCUCAUCAGUGUAAAAUGGUAGCAAGUUCUUUUAUGACCGUAAAGAUUGUUUUGAAUUAUUAUAAAUAUCUGGUGUUACAUGUGUGUGUACAUAUUUUUCUUUGAAAAUCUCCCCUACCCUAGUCUCCUUUUCAGCCGUCUUCCGGGAUGUCACGGAACUCUCCCCUGAAAGGUCCUUUCGGGGCCCUGACUGAUAAAGCUACAAAUG